rnacentral:rRNA from 2 species
CAUAUCAAUAAGCGGAGGAAAAGAAAAUAACAAUGAUUUCCCUAGUAACGGCGAGUGAAGAGGAAAGAGCUCAAAGUUGGAACCUGUUUGGCCUAGCUAAACCGGAUUGUAGACUGUAGAAGUGUUUUCCAGGCAAGCCGAGUAAAUAAGUCCUUUGGAACAGGGCAUCAUAGAGGGUGAGAAUCCCGUCUUUGGCUUGAGCAUUUGCCUUUUGUGAUACGCUUUCAAAGAGUCAGGUUGUUUGGGAAUGCAGCCUAAAUUGGGUGGUAAAUCUCACCUAAAGCUAAAUAUUGGCGAGAAACCGAUAGCGAACAAGUACCGUGAGGGAAAGAUGAAAAGAACUUUGAAAAGAGAGUUAAACAGUAUGUGAAAUUGUUAAAAGGGAACCGUUUGGAGCCAGACUGGCUUGUCUGUAAUCAAUCUAGGCUUCGGCCUGGAUGCACUUGCAGGCUAUGCCUGCCAACGACAAUUUGACUUGAGGGAAAAAACUAGGGGAAAUGUGGCCCACUUGUGGGUGUUAUAGUCCCUUAGAAAAUACCUUGGGUUGGAUUGAGGAACGCAGCGAAUGCUUAUUGGCGAGUUUUCCAGGAAGGUUUUCUGAGGUACUACGGUAUCAAGGUUGAUCUUUUUGGUUAUACUUCUAUUCGCUUAGGUUGUUGGCUUAAUGACUCUAAAUGACCCGUC